GAUGGACCCGCGGUGCAUUAGCUAGUUGGUGAGGUAACGGCUCACCAAGGCAACGAUGCAUAGCCGACCUGAGAGGGUGAUCGGCCACAUUGGGACUGAGACACGGCCCAAACUCCUACGGGAGGCAGCAGUAGGGAAUCUUCGGCAAUGGACGAAAGUCUGACCGAGCAACGCCGCGUGAGUGAAGAAGGUUUUCGGAUCGUAAAACUCUGUUGUUAGAGAAGAACAAGGAUGAGAGUAAAAUGUUCAUCCCUUGACGGUAUCUAACCAGAAAGCCACGGCUAACUACGUGCCAGCAGCCGCGGUAAUACGUAGGUGGCAAGCGUUGUCCGGAUUUAUUGGGCGUAAAGCGAGCGCAGGCGGUUUCUUAAGCCUGAUGUGAAAGCCCCCGGCUCAACCGGGGAGGGUCAUUGGAAACUGGGAAACUUGAGUGCAGAAGAGGAGAGUGGAAUUCCAUGUGUAGCGGUGAAAUGCGUAGAUAUAUGGAGGAACACCAGUGGCGAAGGCGGCUCUCUGGUCUGUAACUGACGCUGAGGCUCGAAAGCGUGGGGAGCAAACAGGAUUAGAUACCCUGGUAGUCCACGCC
rnacentral:rRNA from 1 species